rnacentral:rRNA from 1 species
GACGAACGCUGGCGGCGUGCCUAAUACAUGCAAGUCGAACGCAGUGGGGACGGGUGAGUAACACGUGGGUAACCUCCCAUCAGAGGGGAUAACACUUGGAAACAGGGGCUAAACCGAUACAGAUGGAUGAACCGGCGGUGCAUUAGCCAGUGGGUGAGGUAACGGCUCACCAAGGCCACGAUGCAUAGCCGACGUGGGAGGGUGAUCGGCCAAACGGGGACGGGAACACGGCCCCGACUCCUACGGGAGGAAGCAUUAGGGAAUCUUCGGCAAUGGACGAAAGUCUAACCGAGCAACACGGCGUGAGGGAAGAGGGUUUUCGGAUCGAAAAACUCUGUUGUUAGAGAAGCGGUAUCUAACCAGAAAGCCACGGCUAACGACGGGCCAGCAGCCGCGGUAAUUC